rnacentral:rRNA from 1 species
UACGGAGGGUGCAAGCGUUAUCCGGAUUCACUGGGUUUAAAGGGUGCGUAGGUGGGCAGGUAAGUCAGUGGUGAAAUCUCUGGGCUUAACCCGGAACUGCCGUUGAUACUAUCUGUCUUGAAUGUAGUGGAGGUGAGCGGAAUAUGUCAUGUAGCGGUGAAAUGCUUAGAUAUGACAUAGAACACCAAUUGCGAAGGCAGCUAACUACACAGUUAUUGACGCUGAGGCACGAAAGCGUGGGGAUCAAACAGG